rnacentral:rRNA from 1 species
AUUGAACGCUGGCGGCAUGCUUUACACAUGCAAGUCGAACGGUAACAGGCCUUCGGGUGCUGACGAGUGGCGCACGGGUGAGUAAUGCAUCGGAACGUGCCCAGAGGUGGGGGAUAACGCAGCGAAAGCUGUGCUAAUACCGCAUGUGAUCUGAGGAUGAAAGCGGGGGACCAGGCAGCAAUGUUUGGCCUCGCGCCUUUGGAGCGGCCGAUGUCAGAUUAGGUAGUUGGUGGGGUAAAGGCCUACCAAGCCGACGAUCUGUAGCUGGUCUGAGAGGACGACCAGCCGCACUGGGACUGAGACACGGCCCAGACUCCUACGGGAGGCAGCAGUGGGGAAUUUUGGACAAUGGGCGCAAGCCUGAUCCAGCAAUGCCGCGUGCGGGAAGAAGGCCUUCGGGUUGUAAACCGCUUUUGUACGGAACGAAAAGGCUCUGGCUAAUACCUGGGGCUGAUGACGGUACCGUAAGAAUAAGCACCGGCUAACUACGUG